rnacentral:tRNA from 1 species
GGGUAUGUAGCUCAGUUGGUAGAGUGCCUGCCCCUCAUGCACGAGGUCCUGGGUUCAACACCCAGCACCACCA